rnacentral:rRNA from 1 species
AUACGGAGGGUGCAAGCGUUACUCGGAAUCACUGGGCGUAAAGCGCGCGCAGGCGGCUAUUUAAGUUGGAUGUGAAAGCCUACGGCCCAACCGUAGAACUGCAUCCAAAACUAUUUAGCUAGAGUGUGGGAGAGGAAGAUGGAAUUAGUUGUGUAGGGGUAAAAUCCGUAGAGAUAACUAGGAAUACCAAAAGCGAAGGCAAUCUUCUGGAACACUACUGACGCUGAGGCGCGAAAGCGUGGGGAGCAAACGGGAUUAGAUACCCUAGUAGUCC